AGUGAACGCUGGCGGCAGGCCUAACACAUGCAAGUCGAACGGCAGCACAAGAGAGCUUGCUCUCUGGGUGGCGAGUGGCGGACGGGUGAGGAAUGCAUCGGAAUCUGCCCAUUUGUGGGGGAUAACCUCGGGAAACCGGGACUAAUACCGCAUACGACCUACGGGUGAAGGCAGGGGAUCUUCGGACCUUGCGCAGAUGGAUGAGCCGAUGCCGGAUUAGCUAGUUGGAGGGGUAAAGGCCCACCAAGGCGACGAUCCGUAGCUGGUCUGAGAGGAUGAUCAGCCACACUGGGACUGAGACACGGCCCAGACUCCUACGGGAGGCAGCAGUGGGGAAUAUUGGACAAUGGGCGCAAGCCUGAUCCAGCCAUGCCGCGUGUGUGAAGAAGGCCUUCGGGUCGUAAAGCACUUUUGUUGGGAAAGAAAAGCAGCCGGUUAAUACCCGGUUGUCAUGACGGUACCCAAAGAAUAAGCACCGGCUAACUUCGUG
rnacentral:rRNA from 1 species